GCUGAGACAGCAGUAUAAUGGUGUUCCUUUUCUCCAGUCACUAUCCUAGCGUGCGGUUCGGAGGUGCCUGGGGGCUGUGGUUUUUCAACAGUGUGAUAUCGUCAAGAACAGAACUGCAGUAAGCUGCAUUGGAAUAUUCCGCAGAUCGUACCAUACAAGUGAAUCAGGGUAACAGAACAGAGUGCAGGAUACAGUGUUACAGCUGCCAAGAGGUGCAGAGAGAGAGAUCAACAUUAACA